AACAGGAUUAGAUACCCUGGUAGUCCACGCCCUAAACGAUGUCAACUAGUUGUUGGGUCUUCAUUGACUUAGUAACGUAGCUAACGCGUGAAGUUGACCGCCUGGGGAGUACGGUCGCAAGAUUAAAACUCAAAGGAAUUGACGGGGACCCGCACAAGCGGUGGAUGAUGUGGAUUAAUUCGAUGCAACGCGAAAAACCUUACCUACCCUUGACAUGGUCGGAACCCUGCUGAAAGGUGGUGGUGCUCGAAAGAGAACCGAUACACAGGUGCUGCAUGGCUAUCGUCAGCUCGUGUCGUGAGAUGUUGGGUUAAGUCCCGCAACGAGCGCAACCCUUGUCCUUAGUUGCUACGCAAGAGCACUCUAAGGAGACUGCCGGUGACAAGCCGGAGGAAGGUGGGGACGACGUCAAGUCCUCAUGGCCCUUAUGGGUAGGGCUUCACACGUCAUACAAUGGUCGGAACAGAGGGCUGCCAACCCGUGAGGGGGAGCUAAUCCCAGAAAACCGAUCGUAGUCCGGAUCGUAGUCUGCAACUCGACUACGUGAAGCUGGAAUCGCUAGUAAUCGCGGAUCAGCAUGCCGCGGUGAAUACGUUCCCGGGUCUUGUACACACCGCCCGUCACACCAUGGGAGUGGGUUUUACCAGAAGUGGCUAGUCUAACCGCAAGGAGGACGGUCACCACGGUAGGAUUCAUGACUGGGGUGAAGUCGUAACAAGGUAGCCGUA
rnacentral:rRNA from 1 species